CAGUUCAGCUGUGUGACUGGAAGACCUCAUUUAAGAGCUGACUGCCACUGUAAUCUCUCUUGCUGGAGAUCCUUCCUUUGUGGAGUCCUUCUGUGAGUCUAGAUCUUUGGAGGUGGGGGAGCAUUCUUUCUGUAACAUCUCACUGUGUUGGUCCUGCUGCCGUUACAAUGAAGCUUGGGACAUGCACAAAACUCAGCUCCUCUGGAAAUCUGAAUGUCUGACAGAUUAAGAUGUGAGCUGGACAAUCAGAGGCAAAGUAACAUCUCUUUGUCAGCUAUUUAGCACUGAUGAUUGUAUGGAAAGGGUGACUUCGUAUUUUCCUUUAGGUAUUGCUCCAAACUGCAGACAACAAGCAGACUGCUUCAGUCACGCUCAAUUUCUGCGGCAGAAAGCUGAGCAAGUGCAAACGGUACCUUUCAAGAUAGCAGACUCUUCAGGCAUGGGGAUGCCUUAUUAGGAAGAUCCUUUUAAGCAGGCAGUGUGGCUAUUUGAUCAAAUGGCACUGGAAAGAAAAUGGACCAACUGAUUGAAAUUCCUUCUAGGCAGCUUUCUAUAAUUAGAUUUACAAUCAUAUUAUCUCUAUGUUUUCUACGGAGACCUCUGUCUAAACUUCAAAGGAUGUCUGUUUCCUUUUAAACAGUUCCACUAUCUACAUAUCAAACCUGUCAGCGUGCAGAAAUACUACAUGCCCUCUUCCUGUUCCAGGCCACAGCAAAAUUUACUUUGACAAAAAAAGGCAUAUGCCUCUGCUAAGACAUUACAAGUGCAGUAGUAGUCCGCUCCAGGAAUAUAUGCUGGGACUUGCUAGCAUUCCCAUGAAACAAGUUAAAAAAACAUAAUGGACUUCAGUGUUACCGCUACCGAAAAUAACCUACGAGGAAAAGAAAAGCAACUGUCUGAUGCAGUGCUGUAAAAUAUGCAAGAAAAAGGCCUCUUUCACAUUUUCAAAUUUAGCCAGAGAAAUAAACAGCACAAACUUGGCAGGACUGCCUUCAUUCCUCAUCCAUCAGACUUGUGACGGUUUCAAAAAGACAUUCAUGAGGAAACUAACACAGCGUCUCCUUGACACUAAGUGGAAUUUGAUAAAGCUUCAGAGUAGACAGCAUAUUGUUUGCAAUUGUAACUUUCCAAAUGAUAUAUGAGCUGCGUCUCUGAAUGCACAAUGCAGUCCAGUCCUACGUGAGAGAAAGGGGAAGACAUGGAAACAAGGUAGAAUCUGCUGCAAGAAGUGCCUGUGUGGAGGAGGAAUAGAGAAGUCUUGUCCCCUCCAACUAUUCCAACUUACUUAACACAACUGCAUGUUGUAUAAAUAAUUAAAAUUAACUAACUUUUAGAUGCUUGACUGACGGGUUGGUUUGGUGAGGAUUCUUCUGCUUCCACUACAGGCAAAGCAGUGUUUCAGAGAAUGCAGUCUGGGUUCAAUAAAUGGCUUUGUUUUAGUCAUGAGAUGCUUUCACGGGUGCAACCUCUGUUUGGAAGAGCUGAGGCUAUGAGGUACACCGCUGAAUACUGCAUUCCCUGUAAAUGUUGCCUUAUUAUUGGGAAAAAAAAAACACAACAACAAAAAGCACAUGAAAACAUUCAGCUCAAACUUUAUCACAUUUGAUAACCUGUGGCACAAUCUGAGACAAAUACAGGUUAGAAACAGUUGUUCUCAGUAAAAAAUAUACCAAACAAUUGUCAGAGAGAAAUAAACAGCAAACACCUGUGGGGAAGAGGAAAAUGACAGUUGUACUACCCAAUUAGCACCUGUGGAUCUUAAUUUCUUUUAAAUGGGGGUGGAGGUCAGCAAGAAAAUCUAGUGAAUCUUUAGUUCCUAUGCCUGACUUCGAUGUUUAACAAGAAAUAACAAAGCAAACCUCGUUUGGGAUAUUUUAUUUCUGUCACGUCAUAAAGAGAAAUACCUGACAGCAAAGGUGUGUGUUUCCUUGAAAGCUGCUGAUGGUAAUUACCGCAAUGAGUUAAAAUUUCUUUUGUAGCUGUUCAAGAGCCAGCAGUGAUCUGCCCAUAGGAUGUCACAUAGGUGAAACACAGAGAAAACGAGUGAGAGGUUUUUCAUUAGAAGCUGUUGUCUGCGUUCUGUCAGCACUCUCCACAAGCAGUAGCAACUGAGCACAUGGGGUUUUCUAUUAGAAAGUGAGCAGGC